GUCCAUUUAGAGGUGCGUUUCUCCCAGGCCCAUUUGGGAGAAUUGGUGCUUGGUGGGCCGAUAGGGCCAUACUCCAGUCAAGGAAUUGGGUCUGGUUUAGUGGGUCAGAAUUUUAGCCAUACAAAGGCAUUGGCCCAUGAAGGAAGCCGAAAGGAGAUAGAUAUGGGAACUACAAAACAAAUUCUGAAAGCUGCUUCCUCAGCUUGUAAGAAGGCUCGACAAAGGAAUAGAUGUUCGAAGCUGUCAAUUUCUUCAAGGAGAAGAGGGCAAAGUGAGGCAGUAGCAAGAAGAAAUUCCCAAAAAGAGGCUCUGCUCAGAUCGGCUUCAGCAGCUCUAUCCAGAUCUCUAGCAAACCGAGGUAACAACAGGUCUUGAGGUGAUGCUCUGAUUUUAAAUGAAGCUCAGGCAACCCUGUGCAUGGGUAAAUUACUUGGGGUGGAGUUUGGGCAAGAUGAAGCAAGCAUUGUCAAUCGCAUUUUGCAGCUUGAACAGCAGGACAAAGAAAAAGUGGGGGUUAGAAUUGGUUCACCUGGGUAAACCAGUCCGUAGGUGCGCCCAAGUGUGGUUAACGGUUUAAAUGAAGAUAUUAUCGUAGAAUAUUAGAGGGCUGGGUCGGCCAGAAAAGAGGGGCAAAAUUAAGAAAUUAGUAAAGGAAAGGAAAAUUGGGAUGCUUUUCUUGCAAGAAUCAAAGAGAUCGGUGUUAUCAGAAUGGGAUAUUCGAUCUAUCUGGAGAUGUGCUCGGUUUGAAUAUAUGGAGGUUGGAUCACAAGGAAGUGCGGGUGGCAUAAUUUGUGUCUAGGAUCCUGAAUUUUUUCAACUACAGGAGUGCUGUGGUAGUAGGAAUUUCAUUCUUCUGAAAGGUGCAUUUUCCUGGUGCCUAUUUUGGUGCUAAUUUCUUUUCUUCUUCACAGAAUCUGCUGCUGCUUUUUGAAACCCAGCCGUGCCUCUGCUAUUUUUUCUUGGACUGUGCUGCUUCUGUUUUGGUUCUCUUUCUACUGUCUGCUGGUACAUACUGCUGCCUUGGACUCUGUUUUGGUUCAUGCUGCUGCAACCACUUGGGUGACUCUUGCUGGUGUCUCCUCUGGUUUAUGCUGCUAUUCUCCUCUAGUUCCUGUUGGUUUUCCUCUUGUUCGUUUCUCACCAACAGUUGUAUUACUAGCGGUUGUUCGGGCUAGCUCAUUGGAGCCAAUUUUGUUUGGUUUCAAUUGCUAUGCUACUGAUGUAUUUGUGUUCAAUAUAUAUAUUCUCUCUUUUGUUUGCUGAUCAAAAAAA